CUAGCGUAAGCCGAAAAGCUCAUAGAGUAGGCA
rfam:Chryseobacterium sp. MOF25P AB670_contig000001, whole genome shotgun sequence.